UGGAAUCUUGGAAUGGCUCUGUUUCUGAGCUUCAGAUCAGAGCUUGCCCAAUCGCCUGGAGCUGAUCUUAGCUGAGAAAUUUCCACCCAUGAAAUUGUUGAAAGUUGAAACAAACAUCAUUUGACAGUUAAAUUGAUCUUAGGCUGAUGCAACGAAUUGGUUGUAAAAUAAAUUCUUUGCGAGCAUGCUCUGAUGUUUCCUGCAAAAAAAACGCAAAGCUCUGACCCAAUAUUCUUUUUUUUGUUGUUUACCAGGAUACUUCGUUUGUUCUAUCAAAUCCUUCCUAUUUUUACUGUUCUUUCUCAUGGCUUUCUCUGUUGCUACUGGUUGGUUUUAGGGCUUUUUUCCGGAUUGUUCCACAAGAAAAGCUGCAAAAUGACCUCCGAGACUGAGCAAAUCAGUUGUUCUAAGAACGGUGAAGCUGCGAAUAAUGAUUUUCUUCAGAAACAAACAGAACAUGCUCAAUGAACCCGUGAAAGAUCGGAGAAUGGAGGAACCAGCACUAGAGAUGCAGAUAAAGAGAAGAGAAGCGCAAUGGGACCGCACAGCCUGACACUGAGGAAAAGGUUGUUGCGAAAUGUUUGUUUAUGAAAAGCAGUAAUGGGUCGAUAUUGAUUUGAUUUGGGUGCAGAGCGAUAGGCCUAGGCAGCGGAAGGUAAUGAUACUGCAAGUUGCAAGAUAUGUGCAAACAAGAAUGAGAUUAUAAUGGCGAGGAUGACGAUGGCGACAUCGACUGGUAACGGUGGUUCUGCUUUAACUGUACUCUGCACAAUGGUUAACUUUCGACGAUGCUGUCCACUGUGAUAUCUGUGGAGAACGUAAGGAGUCUGGGACUGUUUAGCUUAGCAUGGUUUUAUUUUUGAACUCUAUGCUGCACAAGAAGCAGCUUCCCCCCAGGUUGAAACAGAAGUGAUCAAUUGAAGCAAAGAUGGUAAUGUAUUUAUUCCUGGCUGUUAGAUUUAAUUCAAGUCAUGUGAUAUGCUCGUCCUGGUUGAUGCCCUUGUUGUAACCUUUGUUGAGUGGCCUGUGGAAAAGAACUUCUUGAAAGCUGGUCACAAGCAUGUAAUCUGCUUAUAGCAGACAGUGCAUUAGGUUAGUUGUAAUUUUCUAGGCUGAUUCAUUUUCUUUUUAUAAAUGAUUACUUUGUAUUAAAACUGGAAGGGGGGAGAGGUUCCCUCAAAACAAUGAAUAUGUAAAUGGAUAAAAGAAAACACAAGAUCAUAAAAGGUGAAAUCUAGAUGUACCCUUCCCUAUGCAGAAAAGGAAGAGUGAAAAACUAAAGCUGUCCCAAUGGCCCAAAAAGUGAUCAGGCUUACAACUAGCAGAGGUCUUUAGAAUAACUGCCCAAUGUCUGAGUGUGCAUUCAAUCUUUGCAAUUAUAACCUUUUGAGAACUUUUUCCCUUGAAUAUUCUUUGCCUCCUCUCCUUUUGUACAGACCAACAUGGAGCGGAUGGUAAUUGGUUCCACAUAAUUCUUUCUGUGGAACUACAGCCUUCCACCAACCAUAAAGACAUCAGCAUAGGUAGAUUUCCAGGUGUCAACUAUUCCUGCUUGAAUGGCUUAAAAAAUGGGACCAAAUCACAAAUGGAACACUUACAGCCACAAAGGUUACAAUACAAAUGUUCUCGAUGGCCAUCCCUUUGUUGGUGAGAUGAUCAAUAGUGGGAAUUUUGUUUAAGGUGGCUAUCCACAUGAAAAAAGAGAUCUCAGAAAGUAUGUGAGCUCUCCAAAUCCAGAUCCUUGGAAAAGAAUCAAAAUCUUAUCCCCUCCAAAAGAGUCAUAAGAUGAUUUGACAGUGAAAGCACCUGAGAUCUCCACAUUCCAAAUUCUAGUAUCAUGUGUUGCUGGAUAUUUGUGAAUCCUGUUGAAACUUUCCAACUAUGAUACUAGUGGCAGUAAUAUUUUAUUUGUAUCAGUUACCAUAACAUGGUUUGCUUUUGUCUUUGUAUAGUAAUAGACCCUUCCAUUCAUGCUUGCGUAUGUGCAUGUAAUCAAAAUAUGUUGUCUCCUAACUUGAUGAAAAACCAAUUUUUGUUA